rnacentral:rRNA from 1 species
UACGAAGGGGGCUAGCGUUGCUCGGAAUUACUGGGCGUAAAGGGCGCGUAGGCGGAUGCUUAAGUCGGGGGUGAAAUCCUGGAGCUCAACUCCAGAACUGCCUUCGAUACUGGCGAUCUUGAGUCCGGAAGAGGUGAGUGGAACUCCUAGUGUAGAGGUGGAAUUCGUAGAUAUUAGGAAGAACACCAGUGGCGAAGGCGGCUCACUGGUCCGGUACUGACGCUGAGGUGCGAAAGCGUGGGGAGCAAACAGG